AGUAAAGUUGACCGUCUCCUAGUCUCCCUGGAACGUUCGCCGGCGAGUCCGUCGGUGAUAUUCCCCUGAAAAAUCACGGCGCUCGCGACGCUGUAGCGCCGGCGCUGUACCCAUGUGGACGUAAUUGCCGUCCCUGCAGUAUGCGUCGCAGUGGUUUGCUUAGCAUGAAGGGUCUUGGACCGUUUGACGGCAAGAACUCAGCAUCGUUCGAGCACGCACGGUAGAGAGCGUUGUGUGUUGGUAAUCCAUCGUUGAAGAAGGGUGAGAAUCGGUGGAGAGCACUGCAGUGGGUGGAUUCUCUUGUUUGAGCACUCCUUCGCUCCGAAUUGAGUUUUGAGAGACAUUUCUGCAGUUCCCAGGUCUGGGAUUUCAUAUUCCUCUUUCUUUGGAGGCUCUGCUCGAUCAAUCUCUCUUAUUGCCUUUGUAUUAGUACAAUUCUCUUGAGAUGAAAAGAAGAGAACCCACUCAUCCAGAAGAUCCGAUGUAUGGGGCGUCUUCCUCAUCGACCUCUCCACAUGUUGGUGAUUGUGAAUGCGGAACCAAAAAGCCAAAAGGAAAUAACUACGAAGUAUUCUUGAGCUUUAGAGGGGAAGACACUCGCAAAGGCUUCACCGAUCAUCUCUAUAUUGGCCUUUUGAAUGCAGGAAUUUGUGUGUUCAGAGACAACAAUGAGCUCCCCGUUGGUGAGGAGAUUGGUCAGGAGAUUCUCUGCAGUAUUACGCAGUCUAAGAUCUCCAUCCCGAUUAUCUCAGAGAACUACGCUUCCAGCAAAUGGUGCCUUCGUGAGCUGGCUCAGAUGUUGAAGUGCAAGAAAAGCGAAGAGCAAUUAGUGUUACCCAUAUUUUACAAAGUGGAACCCUCGAAGUUACGACAUCUUACAGGGAGUUUUGGAGCUGCUAUCAAUGAACAUAAAGAGAAUUUGGAUGAAGUGGUUGUGAAGGAAUGGGAAGAAGCGCUUGAAGAAGUCAGUUACUUGAAAGGAUGGGAAUCGGACAAAGUUAAUGAUGGGUACAUUAUUCUCCACCAAAACU